rnacentral:rRNA from 1 species
AACGAACGCUGGCGGCAUGCCUAACACAUGCAAGUCGAACGAGACCUUCGGGUCUAGUGGCGCACGGGUGCGUAACGCGUGGGAAUCUGCCCUUCGGUUCGGAAUAACUCAGGGAAACUUGAGCUAAUACCGGAUAAUGACGUAAGUCCAAAGAUUUAUCGCCGAAGGAUGAGCCCGCGUAGGAUUAGCUUGUUGGUGGGUAAUGGCCCACCAAGGCGACGAUCCUUAGCUGGUCUGAGAGGAUGAUCAGCCACACUGGGACUGAGACACGGCCCAGACUCCUACGGGAGGCAGCAGUGGGGAAUAUUGGACAAUGGGCGAAAGCCUGAUCCAGCAAUGCCGCGUGAGUGAUGAAGGCCUUAGGGUUGUAAAGCUC